UCUACAAUAGCAUAUAUAAUAAUGCAAUUAACUGUUAAUUAAAAGAAGCAAUUCGCUUGUAGAU
rnacentral:tRNA from 1 species